ACGUACGGUGUGUACGCCGCUAAAUAACAUACCAAACCAUGACAAUACAGCAAACUGAGCAAAGUGUCAGUUUGUUUGAGUGUGGCCUUUAGGUGGUGUGGCGCGCCGGCGCCGCUCGCCGCUCAGACUUGAGCAGAGGCCCAAAGUGUGUGACAGGAGGUACAGUACAUCGUAGCUCGUGGCGCUCCGCCUCACACUUAUCAAGUGUUCUCGUGGGCCCUUCCUUGUGCCGGCCUGCUGAGGGAGGGAGAAGGGAGAGAGGUGACCAGAGGAGGCUUGGGAGGAGAGAGAGAGAGAGAGAGAGGCGAGACAAAGGUGUCCAGGCCUGGUGCCCUUCUAGGCUCUGACGUGGCUCCAUCCAGCCGGCUGCCCAAAGGGUACCUUCAGUGGAGGGGUAAAGCCAGGCAGCAGUAUGAGUGAACAGCAGCAGCAGCAGCAGCAGUCUGCCACAGGUGUGCGGAGAUCCAGGCAUGGUGCCAAGAAUGACCUGGAGACAGGCAGCUCCACCCACAGAGGAGAGAGAAAGUUUGUGUGUCAGCAGUGUGAAAAACCUUUUACAUCCAGAAAAGGACUCAGACGACACACCCUGACACACAGUGGUGUUAGAAAUUAUGAGUGUUUGGAAUGUGGAAAGAAAUUCAUCACAAAGUCUGAACUCAACAAACACACCCUGACUCAUAGUGGUGUUAAAAAUCAUGAGUGUUUGCAAUGUGGAAAGAAAUUCACCAGAAAGAGUCACCUCACCACACACACCCAGACACACAGUGGUGUUAGAAAUUAUGAGUGUCUGGAAUGUGGCAAGAAAUUCACUGAAAAGGGUAGCCUCACCAGACACACUCUGACACACAGUGGUGUUAGAAAUUAUGAGUGUCUGGAAUGUGGAAAGAAAUUUGCCACAAAGUCUGAUCUCACCAAACACACUCUGACACACAGUGGUGUUAGAAAUUAUGAGUGUCUGGAAUGUGGCAAGAAAUUCAUCUCCAAGGGUAACCUCACUAAACACACCGUGACACACAGUGGUGGUAGAAACUAUAUGUGUCUAGAAUGUGGAAAGCAAUUCAUCACAAAGGUUGGUCUCACCACACACACCCUGAAACACAGUGGUGUUAGAAAUUAUGAGUGUCUGGAAUGUGGCAAGAAAUUCACCACAAAGUCUAAUCUCACCACACACUCCCUGACACACAGUGGUGUUAGAAAUUAUGAGUGUGAGGAGUGUGGCAAGAAAUUCUUCACCAUUGGUGCUCUCAACAAACAUGCCUUCAGACACACUGGCUUGAGGGAGUUCAAGUGUGAUGUUUGUGGCAAGUGUUUCAAGACUAAGGGUGACAUUGCCCAGCAUGUGAAGAUCCACUUUUGAGGUGGUGUGUUGUGUGGACCGGUGGGGCCACACCUGCACCUGUGGGAGUGUGUGGUGGUGGUGGUGGUGGUGGACAGUGUAUUUCUUUCUUUUUCCUCUCCUAUUGCUUCCUCCCGACCUUGGCCUGACCUUCCAGUAUUUGCUGCUCGACACAGCCAGGUGAAGCACGCCUUCAGUGGGAACUGGUCUCCUGAGGGUGUCACCAAGGCUCUCCAUCUCCAGCAGGAUGUGGCGGGGGUCAAGAUGGCAGGCAAGCAAGGAAGUAAGACGUUGGUGUGUGUUGGAUGCCUGCGUGACUCCAUGCUACGCUGGCCUGCCACACCACAGGAUACAUUGAUGAUAGUGUCACCUCAGCACACACUACACUGUUGUCAAGUGUGGCAGUGCCUGUAAGGACACCACACCCCUGUGGUCUGUUAUUGCAAGGAGUGUGUUUGUUGUAUACUGGGAUACAAGGUAGAAGGAAGCAGUGUACACCUAGUUUUGUAAUUAUUGUAUUGUGAGGGGUGUGUACUUAGUGUAUUGUGGGUUGUAAGACAAAGUAGUAGUAGUUUACACCUAGCCUUGUGUAUCUUGUGAGGGGUGUGUACUUUGUUGUAUUGUAGUUUACAGGCAGUGUUGUAUGUACUGUGUUUGUGUUGUGAGGUGUAAGGAGAGGCAGACACUUGUAGUGUGUGUAUGUGUGUGUGAGUGAGUCCCUUGAUCAAAUCACUGCCUGGAGUUUCAUUAGGCAACUGGUGUUUGUGUAAUUGUAAAGUAUCUUUUUAUCUCUAUAACCAUUAACCAGUGCUGCUUUAAUGAUAUUUUUGACAUAAUUGGUUUACAUGUUAAGUUAGUGUGUGUCUCAAAAUAUUUUUAGCUACAUAUAUUUACAGUCUAAAAUGUCUGUUUCAUUAGAUUGAGUAAUGUAACAAUGUCAAUGAUGCAUAUCUGUGCAUUGGUUAACCCCUUCAGUACUGGGACACAUUUUUACCUUGAGUUUUGUGUAGGAUUAGACAAUUUUGUUAACAUUAGGAAUGGUCUAUGAAGGCCAAAAGAUUAAUAGUGACAGUCUUCUUUAUUUUA